rnacentral:rRNA from 1 species
UACGUAGGGGGCUAGCGUUGUCCGGAAUCAUUGGGCGUAAAGCGCGCGUAGGCGGCCAGAUAAGUCCGGUGUGAAAGUCACAGGCUCAACCUGUGAAUGCCGCUGGAAACUGUCUGGCUAGAGUCCGGAAGGGGCGAGUGGAAUUCCUGGUGUAGCGGUGAAAUGCGCAGAUAUCAGGAGGAACACCAAUGGCGAAGGCAGCUCGCUGGAGCGGUACUGACGCUGAGGCGCGAAAGCUAGGGGAGCAAACAGG